UUCCCGAAUACAAACUUAAGCGGGCUCCAACGCCGACUUCCCUUUAAAGCCUCUUUGAAGCCAAGCGCAGGAAUGAGUAGGGCGGCAACUCACCUUGCCUGCUUGUUAUAAACCUCUAUAUAUAGCACCGUCCGCCCAAACGGACGUUGGAGCGAGGCGGUGAGGCUGGAACCCAAGAUGGCGCCCGCUACCCUUAUCCUCCACCGCCAAUGCUGCCAGCGCCGGAUCUCCUUCUCGGUCCCGGUGGCGUUCCUUCCAGACUUCGCCCUGUCCGCUCCGCUUCGAGCCUUUCACCUCCUUGCAUAAUAUGUGUUACGGAAUACCACAACUGGACGCCUUGUAGAAAUAUCACCAGAAUCAGUUCUUUAAAGAUCGGCACUAUUUGGAGGAGGACUGCGGGCACCACUUCUUGGAAAGCAUAAUCCACUUGUCAUGAUUCUUCUUUUGUGAUUCUUGCGUUUUUGAUUGAUCAAAGGGUUCUUUGGCUCAGUUCUUUGAAGAUCGGCACUGUUUGGAGAUGCAUUGGGGGCACCACUUCUUGGCGAGUAUAAUCAACUUGUCAAGAUUCUUCAUUUGUAAUUCUGGAUGCUUGGUUUCCAAAUUUUGUUGUAAUUCUGUUGUAGCAAAUAUUAUAGUACAAACUCCUUGGAAUGGACAACAAACUCCAUGUUUAUGAAAUGAAUACAUGUCCUUUAAUUUAA